rnacentral:rRNA from 1 species
AUUGAACGCUGGCGGCAGGCUUAACACAUGCACGUCGAGCGAGCGGCGGACGGGUGAGUAAUGUCUGGGAAACUGCCUGAGGGUGGGGGUUAACUACUGGAAACGGUAGCUAAUAACGCAUCCCAUCAUUUGGGCCGUUAUGGGAUUAGGUAGUAGGUGGGGUAAAGGCUUACCUAGGCGACGAUCCCUUGCUGGUCUGAGAGGAUGACCAGCCACCCGGGAACUGAGACACGGUCCAGACUCCUACGGGAGGCAGCAGUGGGGAAUAUUGCACGAUGGGCGCAAGCCUGAUGCAGCCAUGCCGCGUGUGUGAAGAAGGCCUUCGGGUUGUAAAGCACUUUCAGCGAGGAGGCGUUACUCGCAGAAGAUGCACCGGCUAACUCCGUGCCAGCAGCCGCGGUAAUAC